AUGGAGUUGGCUGCCGCCUGGCGCUCCUCUCGUGGCCCCCAGGGCCCCCCGGCUCCUCCGCCGCUCAUCCCUCCUGAGCUCUUCAGCCUCGCAGGUGAGGACCAACCCCGGGCUCUCCACGCGGACCCGCUCCCUUCCCGGCCCGCCCACCCCGGGCUCCUCCUGUCGCUUUGGGAGGGGACUGAUGGCGUUUUCUCACCUCUUCCAGGCUCAGCCAAACCCUGCCAGCCUCCUGCCAUGGAGCAGCCUCUCCUCGCACCGCCGGCUAUGGGGACGCUGAUGGCACCCGGCGCACCCCGGGGUCCCCCGCCAGGGCUGUGGAUGGCUCCGUGCGGCUGUUUCUUCGACCCCCGUGUCUUUCACUUCGAGUGGGCAACCACCACCGUGCCCCCACCGGCCAACCCCAUGGGCUCCGCUUCGCUGCCCAACGCUGCCCCCGGGGCUCCGCAGAGCUGGGUGACCCCCCCGGCCCCACCGCAGCCGUUUGUGCCCUACAAACAGCAGGGCACCGCCGCGACCCCGCUGCUGCCGUCGGUCCCCAGCUUCCAGCAGCUGGAGGGGCAGAUCCAGCAGAUGAGGAUCUCAGAGGCACCUCCCAGUGGCAGCCCCGGUGUGCCCUCCGAUGGCAUCGUCCCGCUCGAUAGCGACGCCCCAAUGGGCACCUCUGCCAUCCCCGACCCCCAACAGAUGGGGGCCAACCUGGAGAGCCUAGACAUAGAGCUGCCCGACGAGGUGCUGCUGGAGGAGGCCGUGAGGCUCUUCAACUGCUCCCCUGAGACGGAGGGGGGCAACCAAGACACCCCCAGCAGCGUCCCCGUGCUCGAAGACCUCGGGGAUCUCGCUGACCUCGACGAUAUCAUCUCCAGUCACGACAUGAGCUCGCUCUCGCUGCCCGAAGAGAUGCUCUCCUCUGACUACAGCAUCCCCGAAGCCUCCAGCAUGAUGCUGAGCGUGGAGCAGCUCGACAGCGUCCGGAUGAACACCCAGGAGAUGCACCAGGAUCUGACACCGCCUGCUCUGCUGCUGUCACCACCGCGGGGCAAUGCGUUGCAGCCCAAAGCCAAGCUGGAAAAGAGGGGGAAAAAGCGACGAAACAGCUUCUUGCUGAGAAAGGGCUGCAAAUAGAAGGCCUCCACCUGCAGCAGUGGGGUUGGAGAGCAGGGUUAGAGGCCUUGUAAUGGGAUUGGGAGGAGGGGAGGGAGGAGGGUGGUGUUGUACAACUUUUUUUCUUGUUAUCUAUUAAAUGUUGUUUGUUCAGAACAUCUCCGUGUCUUGGUGGGGGUUGGAACAGCCCUUGGAUGGUGGGCGGGGGGUGCUGGGACAGACACAGCCCUACCCACAGAUAGUGGCGUCCCCAGCCUGCAGUGAAACCCAGGUCAAGGGCAGAGGGAGUCUGCAGUUCCUUCAUCCCAAAGGUGGAUGGGGUCACUUGCAAGGGGUGGACAGGGUCCUCCAAGG
ensembl:lncRNA